AUAUUCCUACGGGGGGCAGCAGUGAGGAAUAUUGGUCAAUGGGCGCGAGCCUGAACCAUCCCCGUCUCUUUCUGGAAGACGGUCCUAUGGAUUGUAAACCUCUUUUGUCGGGGAGCAAAAGACGCCACGCGUGGCGUUCCGAGAGUACCCGAAGAAAAAGCAUCGGCUAACUCCGUGCCAGCAGCCGCGGUAAUACGGAGGAUGCGAGCGUUAUCCGGAUUUAUUGGGUUUAAAGGGUGCGCAGGCGGAAGAUCAAGUCAGCGGUAAAAUUGAGAGGCUCAACCUCUUCGAGCCGUUGAAACUGG
rnacentral:rRNA from 1 species